rnacentral:lncRNA from 1 species
CCGCAGCUCCAGGCAGGUGCUGCAGAGCCCGGCUCCAAUGGGGCAGCACGGGGAGGGCAGAGCAGAGCAGAGCAGAGCAGAGCACACCUCCAUUGCUGGGUCAUUGCCCAGGUCAGCAGCCAGCCUGCCCUCGCCAAGCCUUGCGUCUGUGCAGGGUCUGUUCCAUCAGCUUUGGGUUCUGAUGAGCUCUUAGUUUUCUGAGGAAACUCCUGAGGAUCUGGUGAAGUUUUCUUGCGUUCUCAAGUCCCUGUUCCUUAAAGCACAUCACGGUGGUGCUGUGAAGGAACCUGGCGGUUCCCAGCCUCCUGCUGAGCCUCCCCAGCUGCUGGCCUGCCCAGCAUUCCGGGCAUACCUCUCCUCUGUUGCCUCCGAUGAAGUCAUCAUCUCCACUUCUCUUAUUCCUGGCUUGUUCCGAGUGCCAUGGCAUGUGUGCUGCUGACAAGAACAGCUUCCUUUUGACAGCAGGAGAGGGGGAGCGCGUGAGGAGGGAUGAGCAAGAAGCAGGAGGAGCUGAUGUAUUUCAUUCCCACUAAAAAGAGCGUAAUUCCGACGAUCCCCGGGACUAGCUGUGAUUCACAAGAGCAGAGUCCCCCCCCGAGAGGUGUGGGCAGAGGCGCAGUAUGCCCAGCGGGGUCGCGGAGCGGAACCCCACCAUGGAGCCUGCAGCCACAACGCCCUUCCGCGUCACGGGGUUCCUCAGCCGUCGGCUUAAAGGCUCCAUCAAAAGGACAAAGAGCCAACCGAAGCUCGAUAGGAACAGCAGCUUCCGGCACAUCUUACCUGGCUUCAGGAGCGUGGACAAUGAGAGGUGAGCAGCCGUUCCUCGGGAUGGGAUGGGAUGGGAUGGGAUGGGAUGGGAUGGGAUGGGAUGGGAUGGGAUGGGAUGGGAUGGGAUGGGAUGGCCGCUUUUUGCAGCCUUUGUUAACCCUGUGUCAUCUUAUUGGGAGCAACAGCACAUCUGUGAUAGAAGUAGACUUGCUUAAUUGCAUUAGGUGUCAUUUUAAUGCAUUGGCAAGCACACAGUGCGAGCCCUCCCUUUUUAGGUUGAGUAGAAUGGACUGAGGUGCCCAUCUGAUGGGCUUUCCUCUCCCCACUACACCCGAAGUUGUUGCUCUGGCACAGGCAGAGCAUGGAGAUGUAGCAGCCGCCGAGCGCUGCGGGCAUGGGAAGGAGGGAGGGAGCAGCUCCGGCUCAGCCCUUGUAUGGACAAUAACAGCUGUGAUGUCCCCAGAUCCCUUUCCCUUUCCACGCUGGCACUCCUGUGCAGCCCUGUGUCUCUGCUUCCAGGCAGCCCAUGGCAGGGAGCCCUGCUGUGUAGGUUGGCUGGUGGUGGAGCAAACUGCACACAAAAUAAAGGGGGAAACGAGACCUAGUGGUUAUUUUCC